rnacentral:rRNA from 1 species
ACGGGUGAGUAACGCGUGAGAAUUUGCCUUUAGGAGGGGAACAACAGUUAGAAAUGACUGCUAAUGCCCCAUAUGCUUUAUUAUAGUGAAAUGGAGUUUAUCCGCCUGAAGAGAAGCUCGCGUCUGAUUAGCUAGUUGGUAAGGUAAUGGCUUACCAAGGCGACGAUCAGUAACUGGUUUGAGAGGAUGAUCAGUCACACUGGAACUGAGACACGGCCCAGACUCC